CGAAAAAAAAUGAUACAAAUCGUGAUUAAAACAAUAUAAAAGAGAAGUGUUUUUUGGCAUUGAAAUGAGAAAUAUACACGAAUAUGAUGACACUUCACGUAUAUAAAACCGAUAUCGUACAUCCGUUAUCUUAGAAAUAAUGAGAAACCUUGGCAUUAUUUUCUUGCUCACACGAGGUUACUUAACCGAGUUAUGAAACAUAUAAGUGUAUUGUCUACAACCAGAUAAAUUACAGAUGUAAAAAUCUAAUUCUAAUUUUUCAUAUCUCUUUGUACCAAAAAUAUUCUAAAAUUUUCUACAUUAAGGGGGGAACACCAGUUGUAACUUUCGAAAAAUCGAAUUUUUUUUUUGUGCAUUUUCUUAAAGUAUACAUAUUUAGAAAUGUGUCUGUAAAUUUCAAAGUUGAUCCGGUGAAAAAUAAAUGAGAUAUACAGAACACUGCAGCGGCGCGUCCCGUGGCUUUAUACAAGGUGGCCAGCCAUACCUGACCCUAACGACACAUGGCCUUUUCCUAUGAUUUAGAAACGGCAACCACUGCGGAAGAGUUAUUAUAUGGUCCAGGAAUCGAUGACUCUUUGUAACUUGGAAACAAAAUUUCUCCUGAACAAAAAAAAACGAAGUAUACUUGCAGAAUGCUGGUCACCGCAAUUCGCCUUUUUUCUUAAGGCGCCACUUCAAUGGCUCAUAUCUCCAAAAGUUUUUGUUAAAAAAAUUUUUUUUUUCUUUUAAAUUACAGCUUUUUACAUGUACUUUUAACUAAUAAAUAGUAUUCUUUAAAAAGA